rnacentral:lncRNA from 10 species
GGCCUAGGGGCCUCGGGGCAGGACAGGACGGCUGAAACCGAGGUCCCGGCGCGCGGGGCCCAGGCGCCGUGCAGUGAGAGCACGCCGCUUGACCGAAGGGGCGGGGCCUGAAGGCUGAGCGCAGUCGCGAGGCUGUAGUUGGCAGGAGAGCGGGCGGGGCCUGAAGCCCCUCUGGGCUGCCUGGACGGAUGAAGUCCAGGUGGAAAGCCAGUCGACGUUUCCCGGGAGCUACGACUCCAGGGACCCUCAUCCGAGCUUAACCGUUGGAACAAUCACAAACCCAGAAACUUUUAGCUGAGUGUUAUUUAUAAAAAGCGCUGUUUUGACUGCUGUUGGACUUGGAAAAGCUUUGCCCACGAUACUGAAGCGUAAUUAGCUGCCUACUUUUCAAAAUUAUGUGAUGACUUCAUGGGAAAAGAGAUUCACAAGAACCAGUAACAGGAAAGCUUAAAUAAGCUUGGAAAUCUUUAAACUUUCAAUAUCGGAACAUGAAUUGAGUGCCUGCUGUGUUCCCAGCACUGGGUGAGGUGAUGGCUAUGCAGUGGUGCUGAAGCUGGCACCAUCUCGGUACUCACAGAACUUUGAUCUAUUAGGAGGAACAGAUAUCAAACAAGCCAAUGAACCAAAGGCUGGGGCAUAUGAGAAGGUAGGGAGUGUUUAGCUACGAAAUCAAAGGAGACCUUUUCAAAGCAAAAUCUCAAAGAAUGAGAAAGAACAUACCAUUGGAAGAACAAGAAGAGGAAGGGCAUAGGCAGAGGGGCAAAGCUGUUUGAGGUCCCUGAGAGAAAACCUGUGAUAUUUCUAAGGAAGUCAAAGACCAAGAUUUUGAGCACAAGAUUCAGUUAGAGAGGUAGCUUUGUGUUCAUAUCUCCCACACCGCCCAUCUCUCAGUCAUGAAGAUAUGGUUACCUCAAUAGCAGAGCUCCUGAU